rnacentral:lncRNA from 1 species
AUAUAAGCAACAAUAGUCCUGAAAUAUCUUAUCAGGGUUCAAAAGUUCAGGAUAUGUAAUUGAAAACUUCACAAUUCUUAUCAGCAAUUGAAAUCAGAAUUCAAACUUACAGAAGAAUUGUCGAAUUGGAUUCAUCACAUUUUUACUUAAAAACCAAAGGUUAGGCUGCUGAUCAGUCACGCACUAACCCCGAACAUGGCACACAGCCCUGUUCUCUAUACUGGAUCCAAGGCACACAUUGGCCUAUAAUUGACCACGAAUCUGGUCCACAUAUUUUAUAAAAACUAAUCCAAUUCUAACAAUUGAAAUCAAUAGACAAUUCAAUCAACAGAACAGAAUCAUAAUCAUUAUCAGCAACAGAAAUAUUUCAAAUCAACUUUUGGGAAUCAACAUUUCAUAAACCACAGUCUGUCUUUUGAUAAAUCAUAGUUCAGGAAAUUCCUAACUAUUCAGUAUCCUCCAUUAUCGGCUAAGCAACUGAAUUUAGCCUGCUAAACCAGCAUGACAAUGGCGGGUUGAAUAAUCAAGAAGAUCCCAUUUCAUUCUAGGCUCUAACUAUC